UGGGGAAUAUUGGACAAUGGGCGCAAGCCUGAUCCAGCCAUGCCGCGUGAGUGAUGAAGGCCCUAGGGUUGUAAAGCUCUUUCACCGGUGAAGAUAAUGACGGUAACCGGAGAAGAAGCCCAGGCUAACUUCGUGCCAGCAGCCGCGGUAAUACGAAGGGGGCUGGCGUUGUUCGGAUUUACUGGGCGUAAAGCGCACGUAGGCGGACUAUUAAGUCAUGGGUGAAAUCCCGGGGCUCAACCUCGGAACUGCCUUUGAUACUGGUAUUCUUGAGUUCGAGAGAGGUGGGUGAAAUUCCAUGUGUAGAGGUGAAAUUCGUAGAUAUUCGGGGGAACACCAGUGGCGAAUGCGGCUCACUGGCGCGAUACUGACACUGAGGUGCGAAAGCGUGGAGAGCAAACAGG
rnacentral:rRNA from 1 species